AGGAUGAACGCUGGCGGUGUGCCUAAUACAUGUAAGUCGUGCGGAAAGGCCCUUCGGGGUACUCGAGCGGCGGACGGCUGAGUAACGCGUGGGAACGUGCCCCAAAGUGAGGAAUAAGCUCCAGAAAUGGAGUCUAAUGCCGCAUAUGGUCUUCGGAUUAAAGUAUUUAUACGCUUUGGGAGCGGCCUGCGUUUGAUUAGAUUGUUGGUGAGGUAAAGGCUCACCAAGUCUACGAUCAAUAACUGGUCUGAGAGGAUGAUCAGUCAGACUGGAACUGAGACACGGUCCAGACUCCUACGGGAGGCAGCAGUAAGGAAUCUUCCACAAUGGGGGCAACCCUGAUGGAGCAACACCGCGUGCAGGAUGAAGGCCUUCGGGUCGUAAACUGUCUUUUAUGAGUGAAGAUAUGACGGUAACUCAUGAAUAAGGGUCGGACUAACGUACGUGCCAGCAGCCGC
rnacentral:rRNA from 1 species